rnacentral:lncRNA from 1 species
AUGUUUUGCCUUUUCUUUUGCUCAUUGUUCCCUAAAGCCACAUAUUUGUUUUAUGAUUUUCCACCUUCACAUGCCAUUUCUUCUUAUUCUCCCCAGAUGCCUCAUUGCUAUGUCUCUCCCUUUUUUCUCCAGCAUCUUACUUGCUGUUGGAAGUCUGGCUUGACCCAAUGUGAGGCCCUCUUCUCCAUUCCAGAUCCAGGACACCAUUCCCUGAAGGAGCCAUCAGGGGCCUGUGGGAUAGAGGCCAUUGCUGGGGAUGCCCUGAUAGAGGUUCCCCAUGCUGUGAGCUCCCCCAGGCAAAGGCUGUACCUUUUGUUUUCCUCAGCACCUCUCUUAGAACCCAGAACAAUGUCCAGAGGAGAACAGGCAUUCAGACCCUAUUUCCAUCUCUAUUCUGGGACCAUGUGGAAUCAGAGAUAAAUUAG